rnacentral:tRNA from 1 species
ACGGUUGUGGCGGAAUGGUAGACGCGCAACGUUGAGGUCGUUGUGGGGGUUAACCCUAUGGAAGUUCGAGUCUUCUCAACCGUA